rnacentral:misc_RNA from 1 species
UCCUGUGUUGCUUGCCUAACGUGACGGAAGUUGGUCCAGGAUGAUUCCCAAUUUUUGCCUCUCGCCACUUCGUGGUGUUAGGUCGAUGUGGAAGUACUGCCCAUUGUCCUUGAAUGCCUCGCCCUUUUGCGUCGCAAUCAUGGCCCAUGGGUUUGUGCUAGUUCCCUCGGAUGCAGAACCUUUGGAGGAUGCACAGCAUGUUACUGUUGUUUACCCACAAAGCGUUCGUGGCUCGGUGCGUACGACCGCUGUGCCCGCCAAGGUCUCGUCUUUAACUAUAGUUUGGACAGGUCUCAUGCGGUGUCGGCGUCGCAGAGGAAUGCUACCUGGUUGAUCCUGCCAGUAGUCAUAUGCUUGUCUCAA